rnacentral:tRNA from 1 species
AGGAGUGUAGCUCAAUUGGUAGAGCACCGGUCUCCAAAACCGGGGGUUAGGGGUUCGACACCUCUCGCUCCUGCCA